ACCCUUUCUCCAUUUAUAAACAUGAAGAUUGGGUGUUCACAUUCUCAUGUGACAUAUACAUCCCUGAAAUCUUGUUAUGUAUUUGGCACAUUAUCCAUCUGACA